rnacentral:lncRNA from 1 species
AAAUACCUUCCUCGACAAAUUUGCAAGGAUUUUGAACGUGAUCAUGGAGUUCAAUUGACUUAUAACCAAGCAUGGUAUCUUAAAGAGAAGGCAAAAGAGCGUGUAUAUGGAUCUCCACGUGCGUCCUAUGCGUAUUUGCCUUGGUUAUGCCAUAGGCUAAGGGAAAUUAACCCUGGAACUAUUGCCGAGUACACUUCUCAUGAAGGUCAUUUCAAGCAAUUGUUCAUUGGCCACGCAUUUUCAAUUCAAGGGUUCACCAUGGGGUGUCGACUGGUAUUGGCUAUUGAUUCUUGCCACCUAAGUGGUCCAUACAAAGGAGCUCUUUUGUCUGCCAUUGCAUAUGAUGCAGAUGAUGGAAUGUUCCCUCUAGCCUUGGGUGUGGUUGGUUCAGAAAAUUAUGAGGAUUGGUAUUGGUUCUUGGAGAAAUUGAAGGGGAUCCUAGAUGAUCAAGAAGUAAUUAUUAUAUCAGAUAGACAUCAAGGGAUAUUGCGUAAUGUUUCGGAGUUGUUUGGGGUAGAAAAUCACGCCUAUUGUUAUCGACAUGUGAAAGAGAACUUUUCAAGCUUCUUCAACAGGCAAAACAUUAGGGGAAAGAAAGGGAAAGAAGAUGCUUUGUUGCUUUUAGACAACAUUGCAUAUGCUCGGUUGGAUAUAGACUACAAUAAGGCGUUUGAAAAACUUGUGCGUUUUAAUGGCGACCUAGCAAGGUGGGUUGCGGAGAAUAGUCCGGAGCAUUGGGCGAUGUCAAAGUUCCUUAAAAAACGUUGGGAUAAAAUGACAACUAAUAUUGCAGAGUCCUUCAAUGCGUGGUUAAGAGAGGAACGCCACCAAACAAUUUAUACGUUGCUGAUGAUGCACAUGGAUAAGCUUGUAGCCAUGUUGGACACCCAUAUGCGUGGUACAGAUAAGUGGAAGAGCGUGGUUGGACCCAAAACAGAGGAAAAGCUAAUGUCAAAUAUCACGAGAUCUGCUCCGAUUACUGUGAUGCCUUAUUUGGGUGGGACGUUCAAGGUUUUUACUAGAGAAGUUUAUUUGGUUGUGGAUAUGCAGCAACAUAAGUGUACAUGUCUAACAUGGCAAAUGUCCGGGUUGCCAUGUCCACAUGUAUGUGCUGUGAUCCGUACAUUGAGACACGAUGUGUAUGACUAUAUCGACCCAUGUUUUAAAGUCUCCACCCAACAGUUGAUUUACUCGGGUUAGUUUCAACCAUUACCAACACACAACAUGCCUAAAGUUUGUGAGGCUGGGACUUUGUAAGAUGGCCAAGGCAACGUAUUUCCUAGUCUCCAACCCCCGCAAGUGAGACGUCCUCCAGGAAGACCCCGACAAAGGCGUAUUGAGUCACAGUUUAGCCAUAAGAGAGCUAUUCAUUGCUCUCGAUGCAAUGGCAUAGGUCACAAUCGGUCUAAAUGUAAUAAUCCAUUGCCGUGACAUGUUCAUUUCUUUGCUUGUAAGGUUUUCAUUUUGUGUACGAUCCCUCAUUGUUCCAUUAUUUGCUUUAUGGUCAUAGGGUUGUUGCUUUUGGAUGUUAUGUAUUGUCCUUAUUAUAGUCACGAUGCACUACCUUUUCAUUUUAUUUUUUAUAAGACUACUUUUUAAUUUUCAUGAUUUGGAGUUGCUUUCAUUACUGAUUUAAUUUGAAAUUGCAGUUUCAAUGUGGUAUCCUUUAACUUGAUGUAUACUUUCACUUCCCUAUUUUAAGUAUGUCCUACUCACAUCAUUGGAUGCGUGCAUUUUUCUUAUCACUUAGCUGAACUUUCAUAGUAUUGUACUAUACUUGCUGUCUAGUUAUUCAGUUGGUCAGUUUAUCUGUGCAUUGCAUUCUACUUUUCUAUGCCCAAUGAUGUAGUUAUAAUAUUAACAAUGGCUGGUAAUGGCUUAGAUGGUUCUGCUGCCAGUUCACUCCCACUCUCGGUAUGGUUCAUCAUACUUGCUUAUCUUUGUUGUUUUUUGCAUUCUUCCGUUGCCAACAUACUAUUUGAGAGGUUUUCGCUUCUCUAGUACAGUGCCACAAGAACUUAUAAUCUAUAGUCAUGCAAUUUUAAUGUAUUGUCAGAACAUAAAUCAGAAUGCAUGUUGGUAUCAAAAUGGGUGAAAUUUCAUUUUAUGAUAUUUUACAUAUUUGAAUUGGUGUGAACAAAUUACUCCCUUAUUUAUAUAUAAUCUGAAAUCAUUUUAUGAAAUUUUCAUUUUCAGAUACCUUUUAAGUUAGUAUAUAUAUAUAUAUUAUGCAUGAAAUUUAAGUGAUUUCUUCAUGUCCCUUAUUAUAGUUACCAUGUAUCAGUUAUGUUGGAAAGUUCUCUAAUAUUGAAGUUUUAACAAUUCAACGUUUAUUUAUUAAAUACUAUUAUAUCAGCUUUGUAAGUUGUCAGGUAAUAUUUGUGUUCAAUUUGGUAAUAUAGAAAAUGUGGUUCACUAACACCAUAUACAAUUAUGCUUUAGGGAUCUAAUGGUCUUCGCUAUACAGCUGUGGGGAUAGGCAAAAACCAUGUCCUCUAGGAUGAGGGAGGAGGGUAGAGGAAGGGAUAAAGAGAGGUGUUCUGGUAGGAAUGGUGAUGGGGAUGGGAUUAACUCUUUAGCCACUUGAGUUAUAGGUAACCCUUACCUCUGUAGCCACUUUAGCCACGUCCCUAGGGUAAAAUGAUCACAAUUAUUUAUGGGGACCUCAAUGGUAUUGAGACAUUAGGCUUCUUUUUGCUUCACUUUCUAAGUGAUUUAAAUAUGAAGGUGGAGAGCCAUGCCUUGCCAAUUUCUCAGUGCCUUGGACUCUGGACAUACCUUUUUUUCGGGUGGCAAAUUCUGUAUUAUUUUUUGUUUGUAAGAUUCAAACAAUUGACUUAAGCAAGGUGCAUAGCUCUCUAGACACUUCAUAUACCAGUAUUUUGAACCAGUUACAGAAAUUCAAUUACGGUCAUUCACGCACUGACCAAGCAAACUGAUGUGGCAAACUUGUACCCAAUGUGGCUUUUGCCAGGAGCAGUACGGACAUUUAAAAUUGCUCAUGUAUAUCUUCUUGCAGAAUCCUUACAACAAUGAAAAUACUUCUAUAAGUUAACAGAAAAAAAAAAACAUAAAGUCAUAGCACAUAACUUUUAUUCUCCAACAUAAAGUAUGGUUUCCAAACUCCUCUUCAUUCAUUUAAUUCUCCAACACUCAUGGAUUCAUCUUAUUUAUUCUUGUUUUCAAGCGUAAACAUACUCUUUGUUUACUAUUCUACAAAAAAGUAUGUAGUAGCAUUUCAUAGUGUAUCAUUACCUUAUUUUAAAUGCCCACUUCCUCUUUUCUGCAAAUUUUAGAUUAUUAUGCCCAUUGAAUCAGAUUCAAGCCUCAAAACUUUCACAAGUUUAGAUUAAUAGUCCUAGAUUUCAUUUAUUUUCCCAUGAAUCCUCACUCAGCUAACAACUUAGGUAUGAAUGAACUUUGGUCAAACACAUGAUUCGUGGUAUCAAAUGAUAGUGUACAAUUCUUCAAUGAUAGUUAGUACCAUGUGGGAAUACUCUCAACAGAAACUUGGAUUCCAAACCUUGUCCAUGUUCAAAAGGAGCAGGUUAAAUAGGAUUAUUCAUUGAUUUGUUGAUGGUUUCUUUCUCUAAUAUAAUUAGUCAAUUUAUUUCCAUAAAUUGAUUUGAUUUCUUUCUUUUAUAUAUCAUGUAGUAUUCUCAUAUUUAUUUUUUUCUUUUAUAGUCUAUUCUGUACAUUUUUACUGUUAUUGCCUAUUCUAUAUAGCCUUAUUCAUAAAUUUUCAAUCCUCCCUCUUACAGGAUAUCUCACUGUUAGUAGCACCCAACCCCAUCUAAUGUCUUACCCUGCUGUAUAUUAUUUCUAAAUACAAGUAGACAAAUCUUUGUAACUUUGAGAAAUGAUAGCUUUACUUUUUCACUUAUUUUAUUGCAUUACCAACUGCAAGAAUGUUGCUAUUCCUAACAUGUCCAUGUUUUCAAACAUUGCAUGCAGGGCACAUCAAUGUUUACACGAUGCUCAGCUGCAAGAUUUAAGAAACUGUGCAAUCGAUUACCAGAGGCAAAAAUUCAAGCCAUAAGAGACCUCCAAUUUGAAGGUCUCUUAAACUUAAACUGCACAGAGGUGCGCCACAACCUCUGUAUCUUUCUAAUCCAACAUUUCAAUGUUGGAUUUAGACGGAUAGAGUUCUCAGCCCAGAAACACUAUCCUGUUACAGCCACCGAUGUUGGCCUCAUUUUCGGCCUCCCAACAGAAGGACGGAAUUUGUAGGUGACCUCUACAUCAUCAGAUCAUCCAUUUGGGACUAUUCGGGCAUGCGAGGAGAAACUCCUAGACUUACCUGUAGGCGAGGAGUUCUGUAGAGCAUUCAUUUACUACGCAUGUGCCACAUUGUUGGCCCCCACAUCUAGGCUCAAUGGUUGCCGUAACUUGUGGCAUACCAUCCAUGAGGAUGGAUUCCGAAAUGACGUUAAUUGGGCCCAGUUUGUGCUUGACCAACUGGUUGAGGGAAUUAGGCGAUACCAACAAUCUAAGACCUCUUGGGUACAUGGCUGCGUUUUAUUUCUUCAGGUAGUGAACUUAUUCAGUCUUUGUCUUCCAUUUUGUUAUAUAAUUUUAUUGCACAACAUAUUCACAUUUGCCUACUGAUGUUUCUAUUUAUUUUGCAGCUGCAUUAUGUCAUUAAAUUCCAAAUUCCUUCAGUCCAAGUCCCCAUUACAGUGCCCCCAGCAUUGGCAUGGACUGAUGAUUUGAUUAAGCGAUGACUAGUCGCUGAGAUAAAGGAGUUUGGAGCAUUCGGACAUGCUGAGAUUUAUUUUGUAAGUUAUGCAUGCAUAAAUAUAUUGUCAUUACUAGCAUAACACUCAUUAUUUAAGUACUAAUCUUCAGUGCUAAUUAUAGGCGUCCCAGAGAUCUCCAACCGUAGAGAGAACUAUGGAGCCAGAGACUAAUGUGGACCAUGACACAAAUGUUGAUGCUGAAAAUAGUGAUGUAAGCUGUGAAUUUUUCAAAAACUUAAUAAAUGUUCAUUUCAUUGUCAUUGUAAUUUAUUUUUACUUCUUAACUACAAAGAAAUAUGUUGUUGUCACAUUUUAUUCUCAAAGAUUGACAUCAAUAUCAUGUCAUAGGAAAUAUGGCAUCAAUAUCAUGAUGCAGAACGAGCAAUCGACCAAUAUCAACGGGGCAUUCAGCAGCAGCUGAGAAUAAUGCGUGGCCUUAUGCAUAAGUUAGGGACUCGCAGACAUAGUGGGGUAAAUUCAGAUGCGGGUGGUCACUCUAGCUAUGCACCAGCCAGCACUCCCACAGUCGAUGACCAUGCAUUUCCUGGUGAUGAGUACAUGGCUUCGCAUGCUGCAUACCAUGUGCUAGACACACCAGAUCGCGUUGUCGCCCCUGAGUAUGAGUUGCAGCCCAGUGUACCCAUUAAUGUAGUAAGCGGUAAGUGAUACAAUUUAUGCAAACACCCAUAUGGUUAACAACCCAAGUACCCAAUCAUAAUGUAUACCUUUGUUGACUAGUUCUAAAUCUCGUAUUGCAGAUGGUGAAGAACAACCAGAAGGUAAUGUUGUCCCCACAAAUAGAAACGUCCGGAGACGCCGAGUGCGUCGAAUGGCUCCAAACCUGUUGUCCCCAUACAUAUCCCAACCACAAACGAAACAAUCUGCCAUCAAAAUCGACCUAAAACAAGGAGCUGCACUGGUAUUUGGAGACGAUUUGGAUGCAAGGUAACAUACUUGAGUGACACUCCUCUCAUUGUAUGAUAGUGAAAACACAAAAACUAAAUUGUAUUUUUUUGUAACAGUGAGGAACUAGUGUCUAUGCAUGACACUAUCCUAACCAGAGGCAAUUUGGGUUGCUUCGAAGGGAAUGGGUGGAUAGGAAACGACGUGCAUAUCAUUUCUUAUCCCUCUUUAUGCAUUAUUUUAAGUUUGAAAAUGAAAGUGUGGUUCUAAUAUAAUUUGUUGCUUACACUUUUAUGAUAUACGAAAUCAGGUCGUCGAUGCCUACUGUAGAUUGUUGCAGUAUCAACAUGAACCGAAGUCGAAACUUUUUCUAUCCCCCUACAUAGCUGUAAUGAUGACUAUUCCAUUAAAUCCUUGCUUAUCUUUAUUUUUUGUCUUGAACCAGGCAUCACCUACAAUGACAAACCUGAUAUUAUCCCGUAUUUGACAUGCAGGAAAUGGUAAUCCACUCCCAAGCAAAACACUUAGUGAGGGAGGCAGUUAUUGGACGCUUUGAACCACAUCUGUAUCAGAUUGAUAUUCCAUAUGUCAAUGUUAACGAGGUGGAUUCCUAUGUUUAAUGCUUGGAUUUGUAUUUUUAUUGCAUGAAUGUACAAUAUUUAGAUGUAUGUUUAAUGGCAGUCUAUUGGUGCAGGUCUUCUUACCGGUUCUCAUAAAGAACCAUUGGACAUUGUAUGUAUAUGACCUAGAAAACAGGAGAAUCCAACUGCUAGAUUCUCGUCCUGGUAGAAAGAAGACAAUGUUGAGUGGAGUUCAACAAAAUCUGGUAAAGUAACAAGCAACAAGUAAUAAUUUGUUAGGUAUGUCUUCCCAUAAAAAUUUCAAUUGUUGCGUUAAUAAAUGUUUCAGGCCAAGGUUGUCCUGUGGUUGGCUGCCCACAAAAAAGAGGUAUCACCUUAUGAUUUGAGGACAUUCAAUUUCAUAACACCUGAUGUACCCCUCCAAACUAAUGAGUGAGUGUUGACCUUGCAGUCCGGGAUAUUGUAUAGGAUUGCAAUUUAUUUGAAGUUCAUCUCUUAUUUAUAAUUCCACACUUAAUAACGUUUUGGUAAUUAUAUUGACAUAGGCAAGAUUGCGGAGUUUUUGUAAUGAAAUUCAUGGAAUUGUGGUCAAUGGGGGGGGGGGGGGUUCUCCAAAUCAAUCGAUGUGGUACGUAGGAGGAAUUAUCUAUGACUAUCUCAUUAUUGUUAAAAUAGUUAGAAAAGCCUAAUUAAUUAAUUUGCUGAUUUGUUGCUAUCAACGUGAAUGAACGCAAGGGAAAUUGAAACAUUAUAGGUUGAAGAUCAUGGGGAGUAUGUUGUUCUCAGCACAAAAUGCACACCGAGACCGUGUUCGGAGAGAUUAAAGGGGAUUGUAAUUUGUGAUAAGACUGUAUAAAGUUAGCACAUUUGUAUGUAAUUUAUGGUGGACAAAUGUAGUUAUUUAUUUAUUUAUUUUUGGUGCCAUAUGCGGAAAUGAACACUGGGAUUAUGGGAUUAGUCAGAGUUUGAUUGUUUUUUGACUUAAGUUGAUUGUCAUUGCAUUGUAAGUAAAUAGGGAGAAUUAAAGAUGAUUGUACAUUAUACACGAAAAACCAACUCCUGACAUUGUAUUGCCAAUAUUAUGGCUUAUAUAUUUAAUGAAGGUUGUGAUGAAGUCGCAUUUUCCCUCACUAUCUCAAAACAUCUAAUAAAAGGCACCGACAUUACAAACUAUAAAAAACCUUUGCAUCAACAAUCUCGUACAUAUCGUUUACAAUUUAUUCCGUACAAUGCAGGUGUAUAUAUGGCGAUCCCAUGAACUGGUCUAGGAGGACCCGUGGACCGGAAAGCAUGAAGUGUUCGACCGGUCGAUAUUUUGCUUCAGCCGUUGAUCAACCGAUCGAACCAUUCUUCAGCCGGUGGCGCACACGCUACUGGAUGAGAGAGGGUGGAUUUUGGCACCCUCGUCCGGAAAUAGACCGGUCGAUCAGUUUCGGUCGACCGGUUCCUGGAGGAUAGGACACGCUACUGGAUGAGAGAGGGUGGAUUUUGGCACCCUCGUCAGGAGAUAGACCGGUCGAUCAGUUUCGGUCGACCGGUUCCUGGAGGAUUGGACAUGCUACUGGAUGAGAGAGGGUGGAUUUUGGCUCUACAUCCGUCUUGCGACCGGUCGACUAUAUACUGUCGGCCGGUUUGCACGAUACACUUGCAACCUAAAAAGUGUUUUUUUUUUUAUAAAUAUGUAAUAAAAUUUAAAAAUCUUUUUUAAAAUUUUUUUAUAUAUUAAAAAAUUAUUUAUAAUAUUUUUAUUAGAUAAACAUCAUAAAAACACUUGAAAAGUAAUUAUAUUAAAAACAUUUUUUAUUAAUGUAUUAGCUCGUAUAAAGAAGGGGCUCAAAUUAAAGUAAGAGGUUAUUUUUAAAUUUGGACAAAAUUUUAAGAAAUGAUAAAACAAUAUACAAAUUAUUAAUACUUAAUUUUUUUAGAAAACAAAUGAUUUCUUUUCUUAAAUGCUAAUUUGUCAUAUAGUGGAUUUUUUAACUUUGGAAAAAUUUAAACAAUAAAUCAAUGGAAAAAAAAUUAACUUUUGAAAAUUUGAUGUUUUCUCAAAUGCUAAUUUCUCAUAUAUAGUGGAAUUUUGAAUUUUGAAAAAUAAAAAAAAUACAUAAAUGGUAAAAAUAAAAAAUGAAAAAAUAUAAGAUUUGAUGGUAAAUAUUAGCUAAGUUGAAAUUUGAAUAAUUUUAUUAUUAUUGUUAUUAAUUUUAUUCAUAAAAAUGAGUUUGUAAAUAUACAAAUGAUAUAUGAUUAUGACUGCAUUCAAAAAAAAUAUAUUUUAUAUUUCUUUGUAAGAAAAACCAAAAUUAAAAAUUUGACAUUUUUGUUCCUUUGUCCCAUAAAUUUUUGGACUUGAAUGGAAUAUAAAUAACCCAUUUAAAAAGACAUAAUCAUAAUGGAGAGAAGUGAAUAGACUCUCCAACUUCAACAUAUAUGAAUACAAAAUUAUUAUUUUUUAAAAAUUACCAUUAAAAUCAGAUUUCUCUAAAACCUACAAAUCAAAAUGGAUUUUCCGGGGAACCAAACAGACCUAAGGACCACCUGAUUCUAUGUUUCGACUUAUUGAUCAUAGAAUGGAUUCCCUUAGCCAAUAUAUCUUGUAGCACCUGUGGGGAGGGGAUGGGUUGGAAGUAUGUGCCAAGGGAGAGGUACUUUUAUCUAAAUGUCAUACCAAUUCUUUAUAUAUAUAGCCUGAAAUGCCCAUUUCAUCAAUGGGUGGGCCAAAAAGCCCAUCAAUUCGGUGAAUUUAAAAAACACACGUGCUACAAUGAUCGGAAUAAAGGGUCGUGAUCUUGUAAGGAUAAAUUAACUUCAAAAACAUUUGGAUAACAAGUUACAACUUAUCUGCAUGAAAUUGGAAUUACUGGUAAUCACUGAUCCGUAAUACGACAUUAAACUAGAUUAAUUUAAGACAAAAAAAUAUUUUAAAAUUCAUUGACUUAAUUGGAUGAAAAAUUAAUAGACUAAUUUGAAUCUAAUUUGAUUGAAGCAUAAUAAUUUUUUAAAUAAAACUAAGAAUUAUUUAAAUAUAAAAAAAAAUUCCAAACACAAAGGAAUUAAACAGGUUUCCUAAAUGUAUAUUUUUUUUUUUCCAAUGAAUGAAAAAAAAAAAAAAUGAAUGCAUUAUAUUAAAAAGUGCAAAACACCGUGGAACAUGUUACUGAGUCAACCGGUUCAUAUCCGGUCGGCCGGGGUGACGUUUAAAAAACCAUUCCGCGCUUAAUUUCUUCAGUGUUAUCCUUUGCCAGUCGAAGGGAUCCGCCGAUUGAGCUGCCACACACCCACUUUCGACGCGAUUCCAGCUGUUGCAAGCCUUCGGAGUGAGUUUUGAGGGGUGCGGCUUCACAUUUCGGACCUAGGGCGUGAGGUUUGGCAGUGGUCCUCCUUCAUCGCGCGUCACAGGCGAUUUGUCUUCUCUUCCCGCGCGCGUCACAGGCUCUUUGUAGUGUUUUGACAUAGGUGUGGCCCUUUGUAGUGUUUCAUGGCGCCUAGGAGAGAUAGGGGUGCGUCGAAGGCACUGGGUAAGCGCCCUGCUCAGGCUUCUCAGGACGGUUAGUCGGAGGCUCGCCGAAAGGCGAGGUUCGACACCGACCUUUUCACUUCGGUCGACGAAUACCAGAGGUACAAGCAGCAUUUCGUCUAGAGGAAGGUGGUUGCAGGGAGAAAUAUAAAUUUCGCCCAUCUACAACAUUUCGGGUUUGAGAGCCUCUUUGCACGCAUGGGGUGGCUGCCCUUAGUGACUAUUUCAGAGCCCAUUUUUCCGACAUUAGUCAGGGCAUUCUAUUCACGCAUGACAUAUGGACAUGGAGGACCGAUCACUUCGACCGUUAGAGGGGUUCAGAUCCAUCUGGACCCGGAGAGCAUCUGCCGCAUUUUGGACAUUCCUCCUGGUGGACUCAGAGUAUAUGAUGCCAAGGCCUGGCCGACGGUAGCGGGUUUCAAUCCGAGAGAGGCAAUUCAGAGGAUGUGCGGCCUUACAGAUGCCCCGGGGUUGGGCAAACCAUCGGCACAUAGCCUGACAGUGACCUGCCGAGUCCUUCACCACAUGAUAGCGUACAUCUUCCUACCACGUGGCGGUCAUCGAGAUGAGGUUUCCUAUCUGGAGGCAUUCCUGAUUGAUUCGAUUAUGACGGGGAGAUGUAUUGACGUCGGGUAUGUCAUGAUGAUGCACAUGAUGGCAUGCUGCGAGAGGCUCAAACGCAUUCUCCCAUAUGGCCACUUCAUGACACGAGUGUUCAAGGAUGCGGGGGUGGAUUUGAGCAGGGAGCAGGAGGUCGAGGCGCCCAGCAGUUAUGACACAUAUGAUGAGCAGUCGAUGGCGCGGAUGAAGUUGGAGAAGGCCCCAGAUGGGUCAUGGAUUAGGAGGGUGGACCGACCAGUACCACAGCCACAGGCAGAGGGGGAUGUGCAUCCUGCAGGAGACGAAGAUGAGGAGAUUGGGGAGAUGGAGGGUGGGGUACACCCUCAGACUGAUUUUAACCAUAGAGAGCCUGAGUUUGAUAUCCCUCCACUCCAAUCUAAGGGUGGCCACAUUGACCCGACUAUUUCAGAUGCGAUGAUGACUAAGACGGGUUACACAGCGGGACCAUCUGGUCAACCAUCAUUUACUGAGCCUCAUUACACCCAUACAUCACCUGGCCAGGCUCCUGACGCCCAUGAGCAUGCGCCUUGGAUGGAGUUGUCUGCGCAGAUUAGCUCACUUGGGACUCGUAUUGAGGAGCGCAUGGAUCAGCAGCAGGCUACGUAUGAGCAUAUCCUACAGAGGCUUGAUCGCCAAGAGCGUCAGCAUGAGGAGUUGAUGGCGUACCUCCGCGCCGUGUUCCCACCGCCACCCGAUGCACCUUGAUUGCAUUGAGACCACGUCGUUAUUUUGUUUGUGUUGCAAAACUGGGACAUAUAUAUUUUGUAUUAGCAUACGUUUAUUUAGAGUAGUGUUAGCAUGCAAAUGUUUUUGAUUUCGUUUUAAUUUGGAUUCAAUAUAUAUAUAUAUAUAUAUAUAUUAUGCUAUUUACUUUAUUAUAUGUUGUUUAGUAAUAUUUACAAGAUCGCCAAGUCAUCUCAUCCAUAUUAGGAGGUACUGAACUUUAACCUUCGGCGAAUUACCUAAGUCCAUGAGUAAGCAAUGAACAACUCAUCAACUUGGAAGGAGUUAGACCUUUUAUGCAAUUUAUCACACACCCAAAUGUGUAAUGAAAGUGAAGUAGACUUGAAUGUUCAAAAUAAUUAAGACACAUAAAUAUAAUAGUAAAGGGUUACCAAAAUCAUAAAUAUAAAUGAAAUAAUAUAUUGUUUCAUAAUGUCAUGUUUUUCAAGGCUCCAUUGUAAUGAUGUAUUAGAUAAGUUUGAACUAAUCCCACAUUACCAAUAUUAGUCAUGUCAUUGCAUUGUUUAACAAGUUGAUUUUCUUAGAACAUCCAAUAUAAGAAAAAAUAUUUCAUUCUCUCAUGAAAUGUGAGUUCUCAAAAUAGUUUUAGAACUGAUAAAAUUUUUGAAUUAAUAACUUUGAAAAAAAUUAACAUAUUUGCAUAUUUUGUGUCUCUUUUAAUAGUGAGAUGGCAUAAAAUUUUGGAAUUAAUCCGGUCGACCGGUUCCCAGCGACCGGUCUACAUUAGGUCACCGCAAUUGAUAUGAAGGAAAAUUUGCAACAACCGGUCGACCGGUUAUGAUAGUCCGGUCGACUGGUUACCUGUAUUACUCUUUAAUUAGUAAGUUAAAAUUCUUAACAAACAUGAUUAAUGUAUUUAAUGUCUUACUAGAAUUAGCAAGUACAGAAAUUCUUCAGCAAACUUGGAGAACAACAUGAAAUGAGAAUGAACCAUUAUUUGUCCAACAACCAAUAUAAACGGAGGAAAAACAAAAUUUAGCCUCUCUCACCAGGGAAUAGAUCCUCCCUUUUUCUUUCCAGCCCUUCUCCCAUCUUCCAUCUUUCCCAUCCUUCGUGCACAUUAAGCUCGGUUAAUAACCAAGCUUAAUGAAGGUAUUUUUCUGGGUCUGAGACUCUUCUACCCAGUCCUACAAUUAAUAAUGUACAAUGAUUUCAAAAGGGGUUUGAUCACCUUACGGAUAACUGAAUUCGGUAAUGUAUUCAUGCAUUUUCAGAUCUUUAAUAGACUUGCUAUUGUCCUAGCCUAAACAUCUUAUUACUUGAUGUAUUAUGUUCUAUAUAGCCUAAACAUCUUAUUACUUGAUGUAUUAUAUUUUUUUU